rnacentral:rRNA from 1 species
UACGGAAGGAGCAGUGGGGAAUAUUGCACAAUGGGCGCAAGCCUGAUGCAGCCAUGCCGCGUGUAUGAAAAAGGCCUUCGGGUUGUAAAGUACUUUCAGUCGUGAGGAAGGUGUUAAGGUUAAUAACCUUAGCAAUUGACGUUAGCGACAGAAGAAGCACCGGCUAACUCCGUGCCAGCAGCCGCGGUAAUACGGAGGGUGCGAGCGUUAAUCGGAAUUACUGGGCGUAAAGGGCACGCAGGCGGUUAAUUAAGUUGGAUGUGAAAUCCCCGGGCUUAACCUGGGAAUGGCAUUCAAGACUGGUUAGCUAGAGUCUUGUAGAGGGGGUAGAUUCCAUGUGUAGCGGUGAAAUGCGUAGAGAUGUGGAGGAUACCGGUGGCGAAGGCGGCCCCUGGACAAGACUGACGCUCAUGUGCGAAAGCGUGGGAAGCAAACAGGGAUUAGAUACC